rnacentral:rRNA from 1 species
UACGGGGGGGGCAAGCGUUGUUCGGAAUUACUGGGCGUAAAGCGCACGUAGGCGGAUUGUUAAGUCGGGGGUGAAAUCCUGGAGCUCAACUCCAGAACUGCCUUCGAUACUGGCGAUCUCGAGUUCGGGAGAGGUGAGUGGAAUUCCUAGUGUAGAGGUGAAAUUCGUAGAUAUUAAGGAAGAACACCAGUGGCGAAGGCGGCUCACUGGCCCGGUACUGACGCUGAGGCGCGAAAGCGUGGGGAGCAAACAGGGAUUAAGAA